rnacentral:rRNA from 1 species
AUUGAACGCUGGCGGCAUGCCUUACACAUGCAAGUCGAACGGCAGCACGGGUGCUUGCCCCUGGUGGCGAGUGGCGAACGGGUGAGUAAUACAUCGGCACAUGUCCUGUAGUGGGGGAUAGCCCGGCGAAAGCCGGAUUAAUACCGCAUACGAUCUACGGAUGAAAGCGGGGGACCUUCGGGCCUCGCGCUAUCGGGUUGGCCGAUGGCUGAUUAGCUAGUUGGUGGGGUAAAGGCCUACCAUGGCGACGAUCAGUAGCUGGUCUGAGAGGACGACCAGCCACACUGGGACUGAGACACGGCCCAGACUCCUACGGGAGGCAGCAGUGGGGAAUUUUGGACAAUGGGCGAAAGCCUGAUCCAGCAAUGCCGCGUGUGUGAAGAAGGCCUUCGGGUUGUAAAGCACUUUUGUCCGGAAAGAAAUCCUUGGCCCUAAUACGGUCGGGGGAUGACGGUACCGGAAGAAUAAGCACCGGCUAACUACGUG